CCUACGGGGGGCAGCAGUCGAGAAUCAUUCACAAUGGGGGAAACCCUGAUGGUGCGACGCCGCGUGGGGGAAUGAAGGUCUUCGGAUUGUAAACCCCUGUCAUGUGGGAGCAAAUUAAAAAGAUAGUACCACAAGAGGAAGAGACGGCUAACUCUGUGCCAGCAGCCGCGGUAAUACAGAGGUCUCAAUCGUUGUUCGGAAUCACUGGGCGUAAAGCGUGCGUAGGCUGUUUCGUAAGUCGUGUGUGAAAGGCGCGGACUCAACCCGCGGACGGCACAUGAUACUGCGAGACUAGAGUAAUGGAGGGGGAACCGGAAUUCUCGGUGUAGCAGUGAAAUGCGUAGAUAUCGAGAGGAACACUCGUGGCGAAGGCGGGUUCCUGGACAUUAACUGACGCUGAGGCACGAAGGCCAGGGGAGCGAAAGGGAUUAGAUACCCCAGUAGUC
rnacentral:rRNA from 1 species